rnacentral:rRNA from 1 species
GAUGAACGCUGGCGGCGUGCCUAAUACAUGCAAGUCGAGCGAACGGACGAGAAGCUUGCUUCUCUGAUGUUAGCGGCGGACGGGUGAGUAACACGUGGAUAACCUACCUAUAAGACUGGGAUAACUUCGGGAAACCGGAGCUAAUACCGGAUGAUAUUUUGAACCGCAUGGUUCAAAAGUGAAAGACGGUCUUGCUGUCACUUAUAGAUGGAUCCGCGCUGCAUUAGCUAGUUGGUAAGGUAACGGCUUACCAAGGCAACGAUGCAUAGCCGAACUGAGAGGCGGAUCGGCCGCACGGGAACGUGGACGCGGUCCAGACUCCUGCGAGAGGCAGCAGUAGGGUACGGGACGCAGUGGGCGGAAGCCUGACGGAGUAACGCCGAGUGUGUUAUGAAGACCUUCGGAGCGUAAUACUCGGUUAUUAGUGAAGAACAGAUGUGGAAGUAGCUGUGGACAGCGUGACGGUACCUAAUCAGAAAGCCACGGCUAUCUACGUG